CAACCUGCCGUCUACUCUUGGACAGCCUUCUGAAAGGAAGAUUAAUACAAGAUGGCAUCAUGAGUCCGCAUGUUCACAUGAUUAAAGGUAUUCCGGUAGACGAUGGGGAUGCGUUCCAUUAGAUAGUAGGCGGGGUAACGGCCACCUAGUCUUCGAUGGAUAGGGGUUCUGAGAGGAAGGUCCCCCACAUUGGAACUGAGACACGGUCCAAACUCCUACGGGAGGCAGCAGUGAGGAAUAUUGGUCAAUGGGCGAGAGCCUGAACCAGCCAAGUAGCGUGAAGGAUGACUGCCCUAUGGGUUGUAAACUUCUUUUAUAAAGGAAUAAAGUCGGGUAUGGAUACCCGUUUGCAUGUACUUUAUGAAUAAGGAUCGGCUAACUCCGUGCCAGCAGCCGCGGUAAUACGGAGGAUCCGAGCGUUAUCCGGAUUUAUUGGGUUUAAAGGGAGCGUAGAUGGAUGUUUAAGUCAGUUGUGAAAGUUUGCGGCUCAACCGUAAAAUUGCAGUUGAUACUGGAUAUCUUGAGUGCAGUUGAGGCAGGCGGAAUUCGUGGUGUAGCGGUGAAAUGCUUAGAUAUCACGAAGAACUCCGAUUG
rnacentral:rRNA from 1 species